UACAGAGGGUGCGAGCGUUAAUCGGAAUUACUGGGCGUAAAGCGCACGUAGUCGGCUUUGCAAGACAGAUGUGAAAUCCCCGGGCUUAACCUGGGAACUGCAUUUGUGACUGCAUGGCUGGAGUGCGGCAGAGGGGGAUGGAAUUCCGCGUGUAGCAGUGAAAUGCGUAGAUAUGCGGAGGAACACCGAUGGCGAAGGCAAUCCCUGGGCCUGCACUGACGCUCAGUGCACGAAAGCGUGGGGAGCAAACAGG
rnacentral:rRNA from 1 species